CACUCCUGCGGGAGGCAGCAGUGGGGAAUAUUGGACAAUGGGCGCAAGCCUGAUCCAGCCAUGCCGCGUGAGUGAUGAAGGCCCUAGGGUUGUAAAGCUCUUUCACCGGAGAAGAUAAUGACGGUAUCCGGAGAAGAAGCCCCGGCUAACUUCGUGCCAGCAGCCGCGGUAAUACGAAGGGGGCUAGCGUUGUUCGGAAUUACUGGGCGUAAAGCGCACGUAGGCGGAUCGAUCAGUCAGGGGUGAAAUCCCAGGGCUCAACCCUGGAACUGCCUUUGAUACUGUCGAUCUGGAGUAUGGAAGAGGGGAGUGGAAUUCCGAGUGUAGAGGUGAAAUUCGUAGAUAUUCGGAGGAACACCAGUGGCGAAGGCGGCUCACUGGUCCAUUACUGACGCUGAGGUGCGAAAGCGUGGGGAGCAAACAGGAUUAGAAACCCUUGUAGUCCCAUG
rnacentral:rRNA from 1 species